rnacentral:lncRNA from 1 species
GAAACAGAAGCUCUGGCAAUAGUCGGCUGCUUGCUCAAGGUGACACAGUUAAUGGAGAGGCAGAUCUCUGGAUGCGGCGUCUCAGGGGCCACGCCUGCCUCCCCCGCCGCCGCGCGCAUACACAGAAUUCCUCAUGCUGCUGCUAUCACGGAACUCAGGGUUCAUCUCAAAGAUCUCUCUUUGCAUAAUGUGUGUGUGGACCUGCCUACAGAUACAUUGGGUGGAAGCCCUAGGAGCCUCAAGCAAGUCUGAAGAUUGGCCCUGAGAACCACUGUUCUCAUUAUCAGCAAGGAUUUUAUCCAGAGACCUCUAGGAAUACAUUCACUAAAAUGUGACUGUGGUCCUGUGGUUGUAUGAACUCUGGCUCUUCUCGUGAAUUACAUUUCACUGGAGUCAGGUGUUUUCUGUAAACAUCGUUAAACCACGAGACCAACUGCAUUGAA